UUUCCGUAGGUGAACCUGUGGAAGGAUCAUUAUUGUAUAACCGAGGUGCGAGGGCUGUCGCUGACCCGAAAGGUCGUGCACGCCCGAGUGCCCUCACACAUCCAUCUCACCCCUAUGUGCACCACCGCGUGGGUCCCCCUUUGGCUUGUUCGGAGGGGGGCUUACGUUUUCACACAAACUUUGUAUGCAGUGUAGAAUGUAUUUUUUGUUUUUGCGAUCACGCAAUCAAUACAACUUUCAACAACGGAUCUCUUGGCUCUC
rnacentral:misc_RNA from 1 species